rnacentral:tRNA from 1 species
GGAGACUUACUCAAGUGGCUGAAGAGGCGCCCCUGCUAAGGGUGUAGACGGGCUAUACCGUGCGAGAGUUCGAAUCUCUCAGUCUCCG